rnacentral:tRNA from 1 species
GCCGGAGUGGCGGAACAGGCAGACGCACAGGACUUAAAAUCCUGCGGUCCUCAUCGACCGUACCGGUUCGACCCCGGUCUCCGGCACCA